GACGAACGCUGGCGGCGUGCUUAACACAUGCAAGUCGAACGGAAAGGCCCUGCUUUUGUGGGGUGCUCGAGUGGCGAACGGGUGAGUAACACGUGAGUAACCUGCCCUUUACUUUGGGAUAACUUCAGGAAACUGGGGCUAAUACCGGAUAGUAGCUCCUGCUGCAUGGUGGGUGUUGGAAAGUUUCGGCGGUUGGGGAUGGACUCGCGGCUUAUCAGCUUGUUGGUGGGGUAGUGGCUUACCAAGGCUUUGACGGGUAGCCGGCCUGAGAGGGUGACCGGCCACAUUGGGACUGAGAUACGGCCAAGACUCCUACGGGAGGCAGCAGUGGGGAAUAUUGCACAAUGGGCGGAAGCCUGAUGCAGCAACGCCGCGUGCGGGAUGACGGCCUUCGGGUUGUAAACCGCUUUCGCCUGUGACGAAGCGUGAGUGACGGUAAUGGGUAAAGAAGCACCGGCUAACUACGUG
rnacentral:rRNA from 1 species